rnacentral:rRNA from 1 species
ACGAACGCUGGCGGCGUGCUUAACACAUGCAAGUCGAACGGUGAAGCGUCUUCCUUUUUGGUGGGUGUGGAUGAGUGGCGCACGGGUGAGUAACACGUGAGUAACCUGCCCCCUUCUUCUGGAUAACCGCAUGAAAGUGUGGCUAAUACGGGAUAUUCUGGGUCUGUCGCAUGAUGGGUCUGGGAAAGAUAUUGUUUCGGUGGGGGAUGGGCUCGCGGCCUAUCAGCUUGUUGGUGGGGUGAUGGCCUACCAAGGCGGUGACGGGUAGCCGGCCUGAGAGGGUGGACGGUCACACUGGGACUGAGACACGGCCCAGACUCCUACGGGAGGCAGCAGUGGGGAAUAUUGCACAAUGGGCGCAAGCCUGAUGCAGCGACGCCGCGGGAGGGAUGGAGGCCUUCGGGUUGUGAACCUCUUUCGCCAGUGAAGCAGGCCUGCCUCGUUUGUGGGUGGGUUGACGGUAGCUGGAUAAGAAGCGCCGGCUAACUACGUG